rnacentral:lncRNA from 1 species
AAAAAAAAACAAGGGGUUUGAAAUGUCAAUAAACUUUUUACAUUUAUCUACUCUAAAGUAAUAAUUGAUCAUAAUAAACAAUCCGCAAAAAUAUCGACAAAACAUUGUCCAAAGUUUGAGAAAAAAAUAAUAAAAAACAAAACAUUGUCCAAAGUUUGAGAAAAAAUAAUAAAAAACAAAACAUUGUCCAAAGUUCAGCGAUUGGCCUUAGCAACUCGCUCGAUCUCGUCCUUCUUCUUGAUGGCAUAGCUGAAAAUACAAGUGUUAACAAUCAGUUUCAAGAAAAGGUAACAAUAACAAAUUGUAAGUAAAGAGGUAACAAUA